AACCAGUCACUGGAAGAGGAAAUGGGAUUCCCUCAGACCAAUUCCCUCAGCCUCCCCUAGAGCCCCCACGAGAUCGUCCUGGAAAGGGAAGGUGGACAUCUCCGCAUUGUUGGAAUUCUGCUAGGAAUGCAGAAGUGGGAGAAGAUAUCAGCUGUGCAAUCAUUGCACACCCUCAAUGACCAGAUUUCCCAUUUUAUUGUCACCAAGUCGAAGGCACUGGAGGAGGACAAAGACCCUUUUCUACCCACUGAGAAGGAGACUCUGAAGAGUUCCAUGAUAUUGAUGAGGCACCUCUUAAUGGAUGCUCAGGGUAGUCACUCACUGAGGACAAACUGUUGAGAGCAGGACCCAAACUGAGCAGUAUAAAGACAAGGGAAAGAGAAGGUAAAGAUAAAAGUGGAAGAAGUGCCUAGAGGUUUCAUGCAAAAUAAGACUCACACCACAUUGGACAGGCAGACCUGUAAACAAUUACCAUCCCUUUGUGGAUGAUUUUCAAUAUGUUUUAGACUCAGUGCUUGACCUUCACAACUAUAUUCGAAAGAAGUCAUCCAUAAACACAUGGACAAUGAAUUCAUUUCAAUGCAUUUCCAAUGAUCCAGCAGGCUUCUGAAACCGUUCACCGAGCUCCUGGAACUCAUAACAGAGAUGUCAGCUGUGGAUGUUGAUGAAGCCCUAGGACUGUGUCGUCUUUCAUCAGAACAUUCUUUUAGAAGCCUUAAGAAGCAUGAUUGCUCUGCAGCCAAAGCUAGUUUUUUUUUUUUUUUAAUUUUAAAUAAGAAGAUAGAUCUAUGGGCCUUUGAGAAAAGGAUUCUCAUUUUAAAAAAUUAAUAAUACAACUUGUCUCCUCUGCUUUUCCACAUACUCACACAUCCCUAAAUUUUAGAAAGGAUAUGUCUGCUGCAUUUUCAUUCCUCUGCAUCAGCUACGGUUUUGUAACCUGGGUUGAAUUCAGCAUUCCUAGCUAGAAAAUAGUCAGCUGAGGAAAAGACUGCCAUCGUCUCUCCCACCUUGUCCAACUCAGUUAAACCCAUGUCGAAAGCAGAAUCUGCUUUCACUGUUGGAGGAAUAAAAUGCAAGCCAUGAUAUCAACCCUACAGAAGCAGAUUAUAUCUUGGAAUUUAAGGAUAUUUUAGAGGGCCUGACAACUUCCUAAAAUUGAAUUCAAACAUUUGAACAUGUAUACACUUGCAUUUUUAGGGAGUGAAGAUCCCUAGUUCUCACCAGAUUUGCAAAGAGGUCUGUGACCCCAGAAAAGGUUGGAAAAAAAACAAGCAAAUACGAUCCUGCAGUCAAGAUCAAACAUGCCCAUUUGCUGAACCAAAAUACAGGAUGCAUCAGCUGUCAAGACAAUAUUAAUUCUGAAGACAGGGAAAGGAAAGAUCUGAACUCAAGAUUACCCCAGUUAAUCUAGGGCAUAUGGCUAUCUGAAUUCUGGGGAAUGACAUAAGGGAAGUCUGCUCUCCCUUUUUUUUUUGUUUUCUUUUUUUUUAAUUCAUGACACUUUCACUGAUCAUUUGGAUGGCAGGGUAUCGCUAAGAACCAGGAUUAUAAAGAUGAACAGGCCUCAGGUCUGUUUUUAACAGGCUUAUAAUCUAUGGUAAGAGGCAAGGCAUUUAAUCUCCUUUGCUUCUACGAUUAUGGCUCACAUAUGUUUGCUCUGCUCUAAGAAAAAUGCAUCAGAAGCACCUUAGGUUUGGCAGGUAGGGGCUCUGAUGUUAACAGGAUUGGGUAGAGAAGCUCUUGAUGCUUCUGGAAACCCCAUGAGAGUUUAGAAAACACGAACCUUGUCCUUCCCUCUGGAAAGCACUCUCAUCUUUCCUGUCUGAUCACUGAGCCUCCUCCCCAGUCCAGGGAGGAAACAAUUUUUGUUGGAAGACAUUAAAUUGCUUGGCUGGCUGUUGUGGCCCUGGGUGAGAUGAAGGCAGACAUCGUUAAUGGAAUGUGUUGUCGCAUUUUUUGGUGGAUUGUUUUGAAAAGUAUUUCACUGGAGAACAUUAGCACAGCUUGGGCAAAAGUGCUUUGUGAAAAAAUUAAAUCCCCAUAUUUCUCUAUCUCUUUCUGCAAUUGCUCCCCUGAUGUGCUCUCUGAAAGGGUAUUUGGUAAAGGCCAAUGUAUUGGGGUUGACUCUGAAGGUCCGUGGACCACGCAUGAGCUCAAAUGCAAUUGGCCAUUGCUUUGUGAUCCUUACCACUCAGGGCCAAUGUGACAGACUCACAGCCUCUCCAACAGGCCACUUAGAAACUAUGGAGAGGGAUGAUUCAGUAGAAAGGACAUGAACUCAGGGUGGAGUGGGCUUUCUCUCCCUUUGCUCUUUCCUGAUUCUAACCUAUCUGGGCCUGGACAGUCAUAAGACUCUGCUAUGAAAAACUACCCAGUCCUUGCUGUGAAAGUCAGCAGUGCUGGGCUACUUCUUGAAAGGCAAUACCUUCUGCUCUACCAUGAUGUGAACCAGGCCCCAACCCCUGACCACAGGUGACAGGACAUAGCCCAGGGUGUUCAGAAUAAUGAGCAGCCAAUCGCAGACCAUGAGGUGAUGGGUGAGCUGGUGGGAUUAGCUCUGCCCAGACAGGGCCUAGAAGUUGCCAAAUUUAGCUCCAAACCAGCAGCAUCUCAAAGUUCCUGGGCUCUACCUACAGAGACGCCUUCACAAUCAAAGUUCAUUCUUUAAAAGACAAGAUAAGAUUUGUUCUUCAGGCAUUUGGCUCCUAUCAGAGGCUUAGGUGUGAAAAAUAACAAAAUUUGAUCUUCGUGUCCCCAAUCUUUCCAUUUUAUUUGAUGUCAUGAGUGACGUCCAAUUCUACCAGUGGUUCCCAUUCAUUUGUUCUCUGGGAUCUGCUAAUCUCAUUUACAUUCAGUCAACCCCUAAAGCACCCAGCAGAAAGCAGAGUACACAGAGGGGGAUUUCAUAAAGUGAUGUUGACCCUUCGUGGUCCCACAAGUUCAUAUGCCACUGCCUCCUCGUGAAGUCCUGCCUGAUCACCUGUUGAAAUGAAUCACUUCUUUCCCACACCUGACACCCUCUGCACCUGUCUAAGAUAACAGUCCACUCUGCCUUGGGCAUGACUUAUUCACCCAUGUGCUUCCCCACCAUUUUUCACACCCUCCCAGUGGCAUCCUAGACACUCAAGAACUGGCAUGAACUUAUUGGCUAAUUAUAAAGUCGUUUCAGCCCUGAUGUUUUGGGUUGCUUCUCCCUUUCAUGAUAAUCACACAGCUAUGGUGGACACUUCUAUGGUCCAGACACUGUCUACAUUAGGUCAUGUCUACACCUAUGCUACAACUCUGUGGAAGGAGAUACUAUCAUUGUCCUCCUUUACAGACGUGGAAACUGAAACUCAAAGAGGUUAAGGGACUUCCUCCAAGACCAUUAUCUAUGCUAGUACCAGAACUUGAACUCUAGCCUAUGUAACCCCAAAGACAGUGCUGUUGAUCUUUGUGGGACACUUCUGUUUAUAGCUGCCCAAGACAGAGUCUCCAUCUGAGCAAUGCUUCUCACCUUUGAGUUGGAAAACAAGCCCUCAUAUACAAAGAGGCAGUAACGCGUAGUGGGUCGCAACCACAGGAUGCUGAAAGUAGGGAGUGAAUGUUUGAUGAGAAAUAGAGUGGAUACAGAGUUCCACUCCCUACAAAUCAUUUAUUAACUACAAAUGAAGAAAUAGUAACUUUGCAUCGAAGCAAACUGCCAAAUACAAUCUUGACCAAAUGAUCAAAGCCAACAUCAUCAAUAUUGGGACAACAGAACAUCUCAUGUCUCCUACUGUGAUGCGCUGAGGAUACAACAUCAUUCUGGUCUUCCUGCCAAAAAUGUGUAACUUGAACACAAUCAUGAGAAAACAUUAAGAACAUGUCACAGAAAACUGGCCUGUGUUCUUUAAAAAUUAUCAAGUUCAGGAAACACAAAGAAAGACAAAGGAAUUGCUCCAGAUUAAAAGAGACUAAAGGCUCUGGAUUAAAGACAAUUAAUUGCAAUGUGUACUUUCAGGUUGCAUCCUGAACCAGGGGAAAAAAAAUAGCUAUAUAGAACAUUAUUAGGACAAUUGAUGAAAUUUGAAUAUGGACUGUGAGUUAGAUAGUAUUGUUAUGAAAAUGUUAAAUUUUCUGAUUUUUGAUAACUAUUGAGAUUAUAUAGGAGAAUAUAUUAGGAAAUGCAUACUGCAAUAUUUAGGGUUAUGUGGGCACAAGGUCUCCAACUUAAUUGGGUCAGGAAAACAAAAUAUGCAUAUCUAUGUAAAAUAUAUGCAAAGAAUAAUACAGCAAAGUAAAAACAGGUGGAUCUGGGUAAAAGUUAUAUAGAAGUUUCAUGAACAAUUCUUGUAUUUUUUCUGGAAUUUCAGUUAUAUCAAAAUUAAAAAUUGCAAAAUGUUAUAGAGUAGCAGUUGCAAGUGUAGGUACUGAAAUUGUACUGCCUGGUGUAAAUCCUGGAUCUGCCAAGUACUGGCUGUGUGACCUUGGGCAACAUACCCAACCUCUCUGUGCCUGUUUCCUUGCCUGCAAAAUGGAGAUGAUAGAGUACCUACCUCUUAGCAUUUUCUGAGACCUGAAUGAACUAAUACGCAUAGACUAGAACCUCGUGCCUCAUAAGCAUUCAGUCAUCAGUAUGGGUGAAGGUCAGUGGUUACCAAUUUCUUUGAUAUUUUCCUGUUUGCCUGUUGUGUAUGAUUUCCUGGUCUGUCAGAUUAUUUCCAGGGUGCAGCUCUAAAGACGAGCAAAUUGUUAUUAGAUUUGGAAGCCAGUUCAUCAAAUACAUGCAGUCCUCAAAGGGCACGAAUGUGUUUAACAAGAAUUAAUGAAAAAUUGGCAGCCUGAUAUUUUUGGCCCAGUCAAAAUGUGUGGAGUCUCAUUGCUAAUUAAGCCUCCUCAUUUUUCCUAGAGCAAUGCCACCUGUAGGUUUGCCUGAUUUGGGCAUUUAUUUUUCCAAAUGGCAGCUGCCUGAAAGUUUCAGGAAUCUCAGAACAAUAACUGGAAUUUAGGCUAGAAGAAGAAAUGGGAUAUCCCAAAAUUGCAACAGGAUAAGCAACCCUUUUAAAAAAAAUUGAUGGUUAGAUUUUUGUCAGAUGCCACCCAUUUAUCUAAAACUUCAAUUUUAAGUCAGAGAAUUAUCAAUUAAUAAAAAUUGAUUUAUAUUUACUAGGUAUAAGGCACCACACAGGAUGCUGUUGGGGAAUUGUAGGUAAAUGAGAUAUGGAUAUUUUUUCAGUUACUACAGCAGAGGACCUCAGUGUCCAGCGUGAAGUGACCAGAGACAGAGUGGAAUGGGAGGAGGUCACAGCAGUGGCCAGGACCAGAUUACAGGGGCCUUGGAGGCCACAGGGAGGAAUUUGGAUUUGAUUCUAAUGCUACAGGAAUCCACUGAAGAUGGCAUUAAUUGAUUUUUUUGUUUUCAGUUGAGACCAGGUCUCACUCUGUGGCCCAGGUGGAGUGCAGUGGUGUGAUCACAGCUCACUGUGGCCUCCACCUCCCAGGCUCAGGUAAUCCUCCUGCAUCAGCCUCCUAAGUAGCAGGGACCACAGGCACACACCACUAGGCUCAUGCCCAGUUAACUUUCUUAAAAAAAAUUGUGUAGAGAUGGGGUUUUUCUAUGUUCCCCAGGCUGGUAUUGAACUCCUGGGCUCAAAGGAUCCUCCCACCUUGGCCUCCCAAAGUGCUAGAUUACAGGCAUGAACGACUGCACCUGGCCUGAUUUAUAUUAAAAAAAAAAAAUUCUGCAGGGACACAAGUCAAGUUCAAAGCAGGAAGACCAGAGAGAAAGCAGCUGUUGUUCUUUAGGCAAGAGCUGGUGUUACUAGACAAGGGAUGAAGCAGCAGGAAGAGAUAAUAAUAUUUUGGAGGUACAGCUAUCAGGACUUGCCAAUGGCAUUGGAUGGGGUUGGAGCAACGGGCGGCAAGGGAAAGGCAGGAGUCAGGGAUGACUCCUAGUUUUGAAAGAAAGGUUGGCUUUGAACACAUGGCAGUGGGAAGAAGGAUAUUACAGGCAAUGUGUGAGCAGAAACAUGAGGUGAGAAAAUGGAGCCCAUGUCCAGGGAAGUAGGAGUCACUGGAAUCUUUCUGGAGAAUGAGGUGCAAAAAAGGAAGGUGUGGAAGAUACGGUUGGAGCCAGAAUGGAAAGUGCCAGACCAAAGAAAAUGCAUUUCUUUCCACAG
rnacentral:lncRNA from 10 species